AUUGAACGCUGGCGGCAUGCCUUACACAUGCAAGUCGAACGGCAGCACGGGGCAACCUGGUGGCGAGUGGCGAACGGGUGAGUAAUGCAUCGGAACGUGCCAUUGAGUGGGGGAUAACGUAGCGAAAGUUGCGCUAAUACCGCAUAUUCUGUGAGCAGGAAAGCAGGGGACCGCAAGGCCUUGCGCUCUUUGAGCGGCCGAUGUCAGAUUAGCUAGUUGGUGAGGUAACGGCUUACCAAGGCGACGAUCUGUAGCGGGUCUGAGAGGAUGAUCCGCCACACUGGAACUGAGACACGGUCCAGACUCCUACGGGAGGCAGCAGUGGGGAAUUUUGGACAAUGGGCGCAAGCCUGAUCCAGCCAUGCCGCGUGAGUGAAG
rnacentral:rRNA from 1 species